CCUGACAUAUUUUUAAACAUCGUAAACGGUGCCAUAUGUGGUAACUCGAUAAGUUUCGUACAAAACCUCCUUAAAACAUUUCAUAAUGAUUUUUAAUGUAGAAAAUACUUUUUACAAUUUUUAAGGGGCUAAAAAUUAUAUUCUACUUGAUAAAUGCGUAAGGAGGAAGUUAUGACAAAAAUAGUCAUAUUUCUCUAUGUUAUGAUGAUAUUUAUUAUUUCAAAGAAUGUUGAAGGUAAACAAUUUUUUAUCCUUUUCAAUUUUUUUAUUUACUGUGCACACAAUUUUGUUUUAACAUGUUUUUCAUUUUUUUUUCAGUAAUAGCGGCGAUUAUUAGUUGUCUUGAGGAUUCUGAUUGUCCACAGAAAUUUUGUCCUCCUCCGACUGUAUCGAGAUGUAUUUACGACGAGUGUAGUUGUGUUAUUAAAACCAUAAAAUAUCAUGAUCGGUAUGUCUUUUCUUAUAUGAACUCAUUAUUACGUGUGAUGAAGGGAUGAAAACAUUGAUUUAUUUAACAAGUACUAAUAAUAUUAUUAUUUUAGAAAAUGUUUUAACAAUUCCAUAAGGUCUUAAAACUAUUUAAUGACUUAAGAAGAAUAUGAGAUUUAUAAAUUAUAAAGUGAAAAAAUCAUGUUCUACUACUUUAUACAUCCUUAGGGUUAGGGGAUAAAUAUAAUUAAAAAAAUUUAGUUAUAUUAUUUUUAUUUUCAUAUUUCAUGUUGCAACAAAUAUUAACAAUAAGCCAUUUAUUUAUCUUUUUAAAUUUUUUUAAUUACUUCGUACAUAACAUUUUAUUCUGUUACAGUAACAAUCUUUUAAUUCAAUUUUUUCAUUUCAGGGGAUACUAGAUGUUUUAACGAUUAUGAUUGUCCGCAAAGUAUGUGUCUAUCUUCAUUUAAUAUGAGAUGUAUGUAAGAGAAGUGUGCAUGAGUUAGAAUGUCAUAUACUCAAUAAAUAUCAAACUCAAUAGAGUAAAACCAAUGCCAUGAUAGAAUAUUCAGUGAGUUAUUCAUUUAGCCGUUGUAUAAUGUGUGUUUAACAUACUUUCACAAUUUUUAUAAGAAUUUAUUACUAUAUGUUAAUGAAUCUAAAUAAAAACUCUCUCUCUCUCUCUCUCUCUCUCUCUCUCUCUCUCUCUCUC
rnacentral:lncRNA from 1 species